GGUUCCAUGGUGUAAUGCUUAGCACUCUGCAAUUUGAAUCCAGUGAGCUGAGUUCAAACCUUAGUGGAACCU